ensembl:lncRNA CASC19 cancer susceptibility 19
UGAUGAGUCAAGACUAUUGCAAUUGGAAAUCUGUUCUCCUCUGCUGCUGCAUUCCCUGCUUAAUACUCAAGCCAGAAACCAGGAAGGCUGUGGCUUGCCUUUUCACUUCUUGUGUCCUGUUUAAGAAAUAUCUGCUAUCCCAAGCAUCUGGCAUCUUUCUUGACAUAUGUAGCAGUUGCUUUUUGACAGCUUGCUUCUUCAGUGAAUGAAUAAAUUAAUAAAGAGAAAUGUGAUGUUCAGUGAUCCAUUUUGCAGAUAACACUAACAAAGUUGACCUUAGAAUUGGAGUGCCUGGGUUAGAACCCUGCUGGUACCACCUGCUUACUGCAUGCUUCUGAUGUGAGUUCAGGAGAAGACACUGGCAAGGACAGCAAAGAACAGGAGAACACUCUAGCUUCCCUGAUAGCAUUCAAGGUGCUGUCCAAAGCUCUUGAGUUUCUGCUUUCAAGUGACCCUCAGAAAUUCCUCCAUUCACUGCAGAGGUUCUGUUUCUCCUUGCUUUGUUCUGACUUUACGGCAGAACUAAGCUAAUGAGUUAGUUACUAUGGGUUAUCACUUGGAUUUGAAGAACCAUCAUUUCUAGGCAUUGCUGCUCAGAGUGGGUCUGCCCUCAGGGGAAGCUGUCUAACCAGAGCCUAACCCACUAGGGUUUUAUCAGAACCUAACUGACCUGAGGAAAAGAAAUACUCAACUCCAGCAAGCUCCAGCCUUCCAAAUGGAGGAGGAGAAAACCCAACUCCAGCCCACUUCAGCUAUCUUGUCCCACAUAAAGGGGAAGUGGAAGAAACCUGAGAAGCAGGCAUGAAGUUCACAGUCCAGAGUGUAUUCCACACCAUUUCAUAUUCCAUCGCAUUCCAUUCUACACAAUUCCACAUCUCCCCGGCCACAUCAGCCUGAGAGUAAUAAACAGACCUUGCCAUCGUAUCCCCUUUUGGAGACACAAGCCAGGAAGGAAGCUCUUCAGUGCAGCUGUGAAUAGAGAAAUGCUGGCUGAGGUUUUGGAGACACUGGGUGAUCAUUCCCAGUGAAAUUUUUAGAUCCCUGGGGACAUGAGCUGCUUUGUCUUUUCCAAGGUCAGGAUAAACAGAAUAACUUCAGGCUUCUCUACCCAGAAAGAACAUGUGGCAUAAAUAUCAACUGCAGAAUAAAUAUGAUUAAUCUGGUACAUGGACGAAGAUGUUUUCUAGGAGAUGCUUAUCCUGGGAUGAGAGCUUUCAUAAGCAUUGAUAUUUACAUGACUCUUACCGUGUGUCAGGAACUGUUCUAAUUGUUUUACCUAUGUCAAUUCAUUUGAUAGUCACAACCACUGAAAGGAGUAAGUACUCUUAUUACUUCCAUUUUACAGAUAGGGAAACUGAGGUAUAGAGAAGUCAAGUGACUUGCCCGAGGUUAUUAAACUACUUAAUGUCAA